rnacentral:lncRNA from 1 species
CCUUCUCCCAAAUGGGCUACUUCUUCGGGGUGGCCUCCCAGUUCCUGUACGGGGCCUUCGGUUGCUGGACCGUCUACCUCCUCAGCCUCUUCCACGCCGAGGCCUCCCGCCGCACGCGGGAGGCCGGGACACUCCACCGGCGGCACGUCCUGCAGUACCACGAGGUCAUCGGCAUCGUCGCCGGGCCGGCGCUCGGCAGGGCGGUGCUGGCCUUCAACAUGGUCGCCCUCACCUUCGCCUGCGUCCUGCAGCUCAUCGCCUGCUCCAGGUACGCCGCCAUCUUCUCCGGCCGUUCCCUUUUUUCAUAUAUAAAUACAUAUAUAAGACGGUGAGGAGGAGGACCUGGGCGCGUCGCCUGGCGCUGCAGCCACAUCUACUACAUGAGCUCGAGGUGGAACAAGAGGGAGUGGCUGUACCUGUUCGGAGCGCUCGCCCUGCCCACGGUUCUCCUGCCGUCGAUCCACAAUUUCCGGGUGGUGUCGAUUCUGGGGAUCGCCACGACGACCGUGACGUCGGCCUACAUGACGGUGGCGGCCGUCCAGCACGGCCAGGUUUCGGUCUCCCUCUGAUCUUCUUCCCUUCCGAGCUCUGAGAACAGCAACAACAGAAAAAAAAAAAAAAGAACCUCCUUUUUCAUGGUGAGUCUCUAUCUAUCUAUCUAUCUAUCCAUCCAUGGAUCCUGCUGCAGAUUGAGGGCGCGACUCACCAGGGGCCGAAGAAGCUGGUGGACUUCUUCACGGGCAGCACCAACAUCCUCUUCUCGUUCGGCAGCCACGGGCUCUGCAUGUGAGUGAUUUCGUUCACCAUCUGAUCGAAUCUGCCGUGGUGAGACCGGCUCUUCU